rnacentral:rRNA from 1 species
GACGAACGCUGGCGGCGCGCCUAACACAUGCAAGUCGAGCGAUGAAAUUUUAACCGAUCUCUUCGGAGAGAAGAUAAACUGGAUUAGCGGCGGACGGGUGAGUAACACGUGAGAAACCUGCCUUUCACAAGGGGAUAGCCUCGGGAAACCGGGAUUAAUACCCUAUGACACAUUUCCUUCGCAUGGAAGAAAUGUUAAAACUCCGGUGGUGAAAGAUGGUCUCGCGCCUGAUUAGCUAGUUGGUGGGGUAACGGCCCACCAAGGCCAUGAUCAGUAACCGGCCGGAGAGGGUGAACGGUCACAUUGGAACUGAGACACGGUCCAAACUCCUACGGGAGGCAGCAGUGGGGAAUAUUGCACAAUGGAGGAAACUCUGAUGCAGCGACGCCGCGUGAGCGAUGAAGGCUUUCGAGUCGUAAAGCUCUGUCCUAUGGGAAGAUAAUGACGGUACCAGAGGAGGAAGCCCCGGCUAACUACGUG